GAUGAACGCUGGCGGCGUGCUUAACACAUGCAAGUCGAACGGAAAGGCCGAAGCUUGCUUCGGUACUCGAGUGGCGAACGGGUGAGUAACACGUGGGUGAUCUGCCCUGUACUUCGGGAUAAGCUUGGGAAACUGGGUCUAAUACCGGAUAUGACGAUCUCUUGGAUGGGGUUGUGGAAAGCUUUUGCGGUAUGGGGUGAGCUCGCGGCCUAUCAGCUUGUUGGUGGGGCAAUGGCCUACCAAGGCGUCGACGGGUAGCCGGCCUGAGAGGGUGUACGGCCACAUUGGGACUGAGAUACGGCCCAGACUCCUACGGGAGGCAGCAGUGGGGAAUAUUGCACAAUGGGCGCAAGCCUGAUGCAGCGACGCCGCGUGGGGGAUGACGGCCUUCGGGUUGUAAACUCCUUUCGCAAUCGACGAAGCCUUUUGGUGACGGUAGGUUGAGAAGAAGCACCGGCUAACUACGUG
rnacentral:rRNA from 1 species